AGAUCAACUAUAUUUGUUGUAUAGAAGAAUUGUUUGCUGUUCAUGCCUGCCUGGUAGGGUUCAUCUGACCUUGACCUCAUUUUCAUGGUUCAUUGAUCAAUGUUUAGUUUUUUUGGUUAAUGUUAAGUUUAUGUGACAGUUGUAAUAAAGCUUUAUAUUUAGGACUAUCAACAUAAAAUCAAUGAUUAGUAAAGAAGGCGAGACAUUUCAGCGUGUGCACUCUUGUUUGUUUAAGUUCUGUAACUUUGGUUUUCUUCGACAAAUUGUUAUGAAACUUGUACAUGAUGCUUUUUACCAUAAAAGUCAGAUCAAAUUGGAAUCUGGGUGGCGUCCCUGUAACAAUUCUCUAAGUUAUGUCCCUUUUACAGUUUUAAAGUUAUGUCCCUUUAUAAUGGUAUAUGCCAUAUGGGGUAUCAUCUGUGUCCCAUGGACAUGUUAUCCAUUUAUUUUAUAUACCACUACCAUCCUCAUUUAUUUUAUAUUGGUUGUAUGUACCUCUUACACUGGUCUGGAGAAUUCUUCAAUCUUUAUGGUGCUUAUAUUUUUACUUUUUCGUUAAAAUAGUACCAAAGGACACUUGUCCUUUUGCAAUAUUGUCCAAUCUUUACGGUGAUAAUUGAUGUUCAUUAAAAUAGUAUCAAAGCACAAAGGUCCUUGCGCAAUAUUGUCCAAUCUUUGAAUAAGUCCCAUGACUUUGCUCCAAGGUAAAAUAGUCUACGUUCAAAGAAUGUAACUCUAUGACUGACAAAACAAUACUAGAUCUGCAAAUUAUUAUUUGGUGCACUCAACCAAAAUUGGACUUGUUAGGAACCCAGGUGACCACAAGACCCCAGGCACAGGCACCUUACCUAUUUUUCAUAAAUAUGCCUAAAUGUUUCAAUCAUAGUUUUACUCAAAUACUUGCCAACACGAAAAAAAAACUGCAUAACAUACCGGUAAACAUUUUGAUAACAUAUGUGGCUUAGGUGCUAUACAUAUAAACCCAUUCUUUUGUUUUGAUGAUAUAUGUGGCUUAGGUGCUAUACAUAUAAACCAAUUCUUUAGUUGGGGAUUUUUUUUUUAUGAACUACUAAAUUUACAUUGGUUGUACCAUGUGUACGUACCUAUGACAAUUGAUAAACUUCUUACUAUGUGCAAUCUUUAUGGUCAUAAUGGCUAGUCAUUGAAAUAGUAUCAAAGGUCCCUACGCAAUAUUGUCCUAUCUGUAUGGUGCUGAUGACUUUUCUACAAAGUUGUACUGCUGUUUCUUGAUUGAAUUAUACUGCUGACUCAAUAUAUAGGUAAUGGAUCAAUUAUAAUUGUCAGUUGACAGUAAUUCUGACAUGAUUAGACCUUUUCAUGGUUUAUUCAUUAAAAUUUCAAGGAUUGGGGGCAGGGGCGGAUCCAGGAACUUAGGUUAGGGGGUGCAAACUUAAAUUGUUUCCAAGCGUAGCAAGGUGACAAAAAUGUUGAGGCAAAAUUAUAGAAAUAUUCUUUGUUAAGCUGAGGAAAAUCAAUGAUUUGCAAAUUUUAAAGAAGCACGCGGCCGUCACUCCCCCUCCAAAUCCACCCCUGUGGGAGAUCAGAUAACUACUACAUAUAUCUAACGUUAGUCUUGUAUGCUACUAGUACUGCAAUUUCACCCUUUGGUAAUAUAAGUUUAACUGACCUCACAAACUUUUAAUGAGGUACUUAUUUCUUCUUCAAGGAUGUUUGCUUGUCAUGUUUUGGAUUUUUUGUCAAAUUUUGGAAAUCCUCUGGUUUUAUCCAUUUGAAUGCCUUAAAAAAAAUUUGCCCAUGAAACCCCAUUUUCUUUUUAUAAAUCUUUUACAUGAUAAUUAUAAACCAUUUGUAAAAGUCUUAUAAAAUCUUAUUUAUUUUUUAAUAGUUUUGGAGAACUUUAACUGGGCAAUGAUAAAGCUAUGAAAAGUUAAGAGAGAACAUUUUCCCGCCAAAAUUCCACUGGCUAAUAUAUCAAAAACAAACAAAUUGACCCCUAUAUUUUUUUUGCUUUUUUGAUUCCUCAAUUAAUCCCCUAUCAAUAUAUACUAGUUUUAUGGAAAGUUAUUUAUUUUGAAACUGAGCAGCAAACAUCCUUAAGUGUAUGUUUAGUCCUCUCUAACUAUAUUGAUUAUAAAUCUUGAAUUUACCAGUUUUAAUUUGUUGUCAUACCAUUUUUAAAUCAUAAUUCAGGUACCAUUUUGAAAUAGAAUGAUAUAAGCUUAAACGGGCAUAAGCUUUGAUUAAGACAAAAAAAUAGAAUACAGUUCUUUUUAUUUCAAGUAUUAAUAUUAUUAUGAGUCUAUGAUUUGUAAAUGGUUUAUUUGAUACUUUUUUAUUCCUUGGACUUAUGUUUUAGUAUGUUAUAAAUCAAAUAUUUGAGUUUAUGCAAGUUUGAGUCAAAUCGUUGAUAAUGAAUUUAACAGCAAAUGCCCUUUUAGCUUAAAUGUUCUGUCUAGUAUUUUAACAUUAUUAUUGAAUUCAUGUUAAUUGUUUAUUUUGAAUUUUGGUUACUUGGAUAUGUACGUUUCAGUAUCUUAUAAAUCAAAUAUGGGAGUUUGAGUCAAAUCGGUGAUGAUGAAUUUAACAGCUAAUGCCCCUUUAACUAAAAGGUAUUUGUCAUCGUGUAAACUUUCAGUUAGAGUAUAGUUAUAUUUUAAUAUAUUGAUGUAUUUAUUUAUAUUUAGUAGAAUUUUAUACUUACAUUAUAAUUGUUUCAUAUUUGU
rnacentral:lncRNA from 1 species